ACUCAGGCCACCGGGUGGCAGCAAAAUGCAUGUAUACUGUACGUAUACACAAGAAGAAGACUGUCACAACUGCACAAAAACUUAAUUAAUGUUUAGUAAUAUCAUUGUUUUUUCACAACAGAUAAAUAAUAAACUGUAUGUCUGUGAGUAUUGUUAUGUCUGGCUUCACGUUUUGUGGCAUCAUUUUUGUUCAACUUGCUUUAAGGGUUAUAACACAAAUACAUUGGUUCUAGUUUUGUCAGCCCGCUAUGAGGUUUUGUAUUGUGUGCUACAAUUAAGGUAAAUGGACAAAUCUGUGGUUGUUUACAUAAGUAUGGACCGUGUUGUUAUCUUUUUUUUAUGUUUAGUUUGACACUAAACUUCAAUUCGGAGUGGCAACAGUCUGAUGCCUCUUUUUGUAAUAAUUGUUUACUAUCUGCCAAAUUCCUGCUUGUGAAGGGAAUAUUUGUCUUUGUUAAAAAAAAAGUAAAACAAAUGUUUGUUGGAGGGGGGAAAGGAUUAAUGGCAUCCAUCCACCCAUCCAUCGAAUUUCUAAUCCGCUUUUCCUUACAAGGGUCGCGGGCGUGCUGGAGCCUAUCCCAGCUGUCUUCGGGCAGUCGGCAGGGUACACACUGAGCUGGUUGCCAACCAAUGGGAGGAUUAAUGGAAUUCCAAUUAAUUUCAAAGGAUGAAUUAUGUCAUCUGCCUCCCCUCCCUCCAGUCUGCCCACUGCAAUACUGUCGCCAUCCAGGCUCCCAUCACAGCAAACCAGAGCAGCAACUGAAAGAAAGGGAUGCAAAAAAAAUCUACAGAGGAGGAAAGAAGUGAUAAAUGAAAGCAGGUGGCGAUCGGGGCGGAGCAAGAAAACAACGAGGCAAUAAGAUUUUGGCGGCCUAAUGGCGACGAUGCAGGGGAUGCAUGUGAAGGCUGGAGAAAACAAGGCCAAGGAAGGGGGUUGAACUAUCACAGCUGUGAAACGGGGGCGAGGCAAGGAAACGAAGAAAUGGACAUUUGGGCAGAGAAGGGACGUGCACGAGCAGAAAGGAGGACAUCAUGAGGGGAUGAAAAGAUGCAGCCUUGCAGAGUGACUCCCUCCGCUUUUCUGCUCCAUGAGCCUUUCUUCACGUAGAGUAAAUCCCACAAACAGGCAAGAAAUAUGCCCCUGAAUCAGAGGGACAAAAUACUAACACGAUGUUUUCAUUUGGGAAGCAUGGUACACCACCUACAUUUGCUGCAGUUAUCCAGUUGUAGCCAAAGCUUCUCAUCCGUUGGAUUAAUAUGCACCUCGGUAUGUCAAAAAUGGAGCAUGAGAAUGGAGGGCCAAUGUGUGUCACAAUUCUUCCAUGUCCACAGGGAGUCUCGUCUGCACUGCAAUGCAGUAAAGAGAAAGAGGAGGGGUUGUUUUUCGGUUCCAAUCAACUGUUCAUUGACCAGUGGAGAAAAUAAUCACGUUAGGUGCUUGUGUGUGCGCGUGUGUGUGUGUGUAUCGUGUUCUGCUCUUGCGCACUUGCAGCCAAUCUCACUACAACACAAGUAAACCGAGUGGUGUGAUUCAAACAUCUGUUAAAAGCUUAUGUGUGUUCACCGAGCGACAUCAGGACAAAGUGCACUGACAAGGCAGUUCUCUGAAACUCUGACGUGAGGCCAACAUGGCACCGAUACUAAUGUAUUCAUUUGUUGACUACCAAUACAGUGUCAUGCAAAAUAUUGGAUUCGUGCAGCAGACAAAAUUAUUUUUACUGUAGACUGAAAAUAACAAAGAAGACUGAAGUCCUAUGUAGAGCAGGGACGUCCAAACUAUUUCCACUCAGGUCCAAAAUUAGGAAAGAGAGGAAGGGGAGGGUCAGUCAAUUCAAUAUGCUUCAUCAACAUCUCAGAUUGGUAUUGUUGACGGAAAAGCAAAACAAAAAAAUAAAAUAAAUAAAAAACAAUAAUUAGCUUUAGAGUCAGUAUCAACAUUUGAGACCUUGAUUUUCUUCAAAAGGCAGUUACCCCUCAAUGACAGGGUGGACAGCAAUUUUAGGGACACAUGCAAAGUGCUCAGGAUGAUGAUAAAAAUGGAGUAUGCAUGAUAAAAAUUACAAAUUUUGUAAAAUAACCUAUUGUGGACAAUGUAAAAAAAAAUUAUUUAGUAUACUUUAGCCUUUUAUUACACUCACUGUAGCUAGGAGUGUGUGGGAAAAGACAAAACCAAGUACAUCCAGUGAAAAAAACCUGUAAAAUGAAGGAAGCACAUUUGAAAGGACUUAUCAUUGGACUGGUAUGCGUACAAAUGUUUGGCUCGGUUAUAAGAAAACCACAGUGAUUCAUUAUUCUGCUAUAUUUUCAUGGAAACAGGGUGAUUCUGAUGAGGGCACCAAGGACACUUUAUGGUGAUAUUGACCAAUUAGUAUUUUUUUUUUUGUGUGUGUGUGUGUGAAGAAAAACGUAAUAUCUUGUAAUGUUGACAUGUAUUGACAAAAAAAAAAUUUUUGAACAAAAAAAACAGUAUGCCACAUUUUAACAUUUUAACUUUUUUUCUUGGAAACUUUGAAUGUGGGUCAUGUCUAAUUUUUUUCUUAAGAAUAACUUACAGAGGGCCACUGAUGGUGGGCAGGCCGGACUUUGGACAUCCCUGCUGUAGAGUAAGCAUUUUAGCUGCUACAGAGGAAACAAACAGCAACUGAACGGCCUUGAACUGUUGACCUCUUGUCUCGUAUUGAGCUUUUGAACCUUUUCAGUAUACAGUAUAUCCAAAAUGGUUCUACCCUUAUUGCAACACCAAAAACCCCUUCCACUAAAAUGGUCAAAGUCUUGGAAGUUACCGCUUAAUUGAUUGAUCCAUCGAGUGUUCGGAUAUACCCCAUAGCAUGCCUUUAAUUUGUAUUCUUCUUCUUGGAGCCUUUAAAAUGAUCCCUUCACAAACCUUCCAUCCUUCUUUCUUCUUUUUUUUAAACAUUUUCUUACCACACGGUGUCCCUCAUUGUGGCCUGUGGCAUGUUUCACAAUGUUAGCCUGCACACCAAAGUCAAACUGGUGUAAUGCAUGUCCCCAAUGCCGCAUUCAUCCAUCCCUCCUCCCUUCUGUCCAUCUCUUCAUUCCCAGUCGAGCCCCCAGGGGUUUUCUACAUUCCUGCUUUGCUCCUUGCUUGCUUGCAUCCAUGCCUCCACUCUCUCAUUCGCUGCCUGAAGUCACCCACGGCUGCUUCUUCCUCCUCCUCCCUCCUCGUCCUCCUCCCCUGCAGUGACUCCUCUGCCACUGUGAGCCAUGCUCUCUUUCUGUCUUGGGCUGCGGUGUGAGAAUGGGGUCAUUGUUGCUCUGUGGCGAUGUGUACAUGCGUUUGUGCUGUGUCUGUGUGUGUGUGUGUGCGUGUGGGCUCCUGAUCCAGCGCCAGUGUGUCCUGCUGUCCAACCUCCAUGCGCACGCAUACUCAGUGCACUGUACUGGAGAAGAGACACAGACACGCCUGAAUAUGGAUGGUCAUGAAUACACAGCUUGUCUUGUAAUUGUUCUGUAAUCCACAAGGACAGUGAUGCUACUGAUACCGCACUGGGUAAAAUGAAGUAGCAUUCUACUGUAUACGAGACAUGUAGUUCAACCUGCUUUUUUUUUUUAAACAGGAGUACAAGAGGUUGUACAGUGAAAUUGCAUCUGGAAGGAUGCUGGAGUACCCAAUGAAAACAGCACAGGCACAGAAAGAACAUGCAAGCUCCACAUGAGAAGUCUGGAGCCAAAAUUUGAACCCUGAAUGCCAGAAGUGUGAGGUAGACAUUCUAACCACUUGUUCUCCUGACUUAAAUGUAGGGCUCAUGGUAUCUUCAAUAUUUUUCCUGGUUAAAUCCCAUGUUUUGUAUGGGCCCUUGUUGCUAGGCAGAAUUCACAUGGGUCAGACAUAACCUCCCCAGAUGCCAGUUAAAAAUGUCCACAAAUGGAAAAAAAAAGGUGAGUGUGGAUGCAAUCUCCAUAGACAACCUCCUUGUAUCUAAUGGCAUGAAAUACAAAUUUCCUUGAUAAAAUAAUGAGUUUUUUCUUACUUCAAAUAUGUGCCUUGCCUCAAUAGAGGUUGGGGAUCCCUGCAGUAAUGUACAUUGCAUUGCGUAGGAGCAAGGUGGCAUAACAAGUAAUUAAGUUUAAAUAUAAAAAUAUAAAUGCUGGAACUAGUGGGACACUGCCCCCAAAAUGCACUUUUUUUAUAUUUGUUUUAUAUUGUAAUUUAAACUCUCAAAGAGGUAAUAAUCUUAAAUAAAAAAAAUUAUCAUAAAUGUAUAGUUUCCAGUAGUGCCUUACUGCACUGGAUCAUACCAGAAGGUGCUUCAAAUAUUUGAGUUACCUUAUCGGCUUAAACCGGAGUACAAUUCCAUCUUUAUAAAGGAAAAUUAGAUGCAAGGGAUGUUAAAAUGUGGCCCAUUAAAGUCAUGAAGUAAUUUUGUAGUGUGGGGGUUCACCAACAGGUAGCCCUCAAGGACCACAUGAGUAGCCCAUCGGCCUGUUCUAAAAAUAUCAAACCAGUGAUGGGACAUUGUGAUUUCUUGGGAAGUGACCAGGUGAAAAUGUGAACAAUGGCCGAGAUUUAUACAGUAGAAAUAAAGUGCUCCAUAUUAAUAUUUCCAGUUUCUGUUUCCUAACUAUUGGGAUAAAUUGUUAACAUGAUCAGUGUCUUCACAUUUAAUUAUAAAAGAUAAAUCGCAUAAAUUUGUUAUUCCAAAAGUGUGUCUCAAACGGGUAGCCCUUUGCAUUAAUCGGCAACCAAAGAGUAGCACUCAGUUUCAAAAAGGUAGGUGACCCCCGCUGCGGUGUAACUUUAAUCCGCAACCAUGAAAUGCUUCAGUGUGAAAGCUUGAGAUGUGAAAGUGGUCGCGGUCCCAUCAUUUCUAGUUUGCACUCGUCGAAGUUAGUCACCAUGUCACUCUCUGAAAGAUUAGCUCGCGGGACCAGCCACCACUCUAAUCCCCUUCCUCAACAGCCCCACUCUUUACUCUAAUAGGCACAGCCAGACGCAGUCACACUGUAUUUUACAGGCCUACGCACCAUAUCUCGCCUCCCUAAUCUGUUUAGCAGCUAAUAAAGCAUUUGUUUGCACUUUAGCUAACUAUGUUAAAUUUUAACCAAAGGAGGAAUAAACAGAAGAUGCCGAUUACAUUUGAUUUCUUUUUUUUUCUGGGAAUUACGUGACACUAUUAAAAAAAAAAGAAAAAAAAAAGACAUUCGACAAGCCUGCC